rnacentral:rRNA from 1 species
UACGGAGGGUGCGAGCGUUAAUCGGAAUGACUGGGCGUAAAGCGCGCGUAGGCGGCCAAAUCAGCCGGUUGUGAAAGCCCCGGGCUCAACCUGGGAACGGCAUCCGGAACUGUUUGGCUAGAGUGCAGGAGAGGAAGGUAGAAUUCCCGGUGUAGCGGUGAAAUGCGUAGAGAUCGGGAGGAAUACCAGUGGCGAAGGCGGCCUUCUGGACUGACACUGACGCUGAGGUGCGAAAGCGUGGGUAGCAAACAGG